AUUGAACGCUGGCGGCAUGCCUUACACAUGCAAGUCGAACGGCAGCACGGGAGCAAUCCUGGUGGCGAGUGGCGAACGGGUGAGUAAUAUAUCGGAACGUGCCCAGUAGUGGGGGAUAACUGCUCGAAAGGGCAGCUAAUACCGCAUACGACCUGAGGGUGAAAGGGGGGGAUCGCAAGACCUCUCGCUAUUGGAGCGGCCGAUAUCAGAUUAGCUAGUUGGUGGGGUAAAGGCCUACCAAGGCAACGAUCUGUAGUUGGUCUGAGAGGACGACCAGCCACACUGGGACUGAGACACGGCCCAGAAUCCUACGGGAGGCAGCAGUGGGGAAUUUUGGACAAUGGGCGCAAGCCUGAUCCAGCAAUGCCGCGUGCAGGAAGAAGGCCUUCGGGUUGUAAACUGCUUUUGUCAGGGAAGAAAUCCUCUAGGUUAAUACCCUUGGGGGGAUGACGGUACCUGAAGAAUAAGCACCGGCUAACUACGUGCCAGCCGCCGCGGUAACAC
rnacentral:rRNA from 1 species